rnacentral:misc_RNA from 1 species
GGAAGUAAAAGUCGCAACAAGGUUUCCGUAGGUGAACCUGCGGAAGGAUCAUUAUUGUAUAACCGAGGUGCGAGGGCUGUCGCUGACCCGAAAGGUCGUGCACGCCCGAGUGCCCUCACACACAUCCAUCUCACCCCUAUGUGCACCACCGCGUGGGUCCCCCUUUGGCUUGUUCGGAGGGGGGCUUACGUUUUCACACAAACUUUGUAUACAGUGUAGAAUGUAUUUUUUGUUUUUGCGAUCACGCAAUCAAUACAACUUUCAACAACGGAUCUCUUGGCUCUC